UGAGAAAUCAUUUGGGACCUGAAAAGCAGGAAAGCUUGUUUUUCUUUUCCAGAUUAUGAACAAACAGGAAAAUGAAAGUGAAGACGACUGAGUUAGCUGCAGAAGCCAAUAUUUUAAGUUUCUCACGUUGACCUGGUUGACAUAUUAGAUAAUUUUUGUAUUUGUUUUUUAAAAUAUUUCAUUAACUAUUUUAGUUAAAAACAAUUUUAACAAAAACAAACCUAUUUUAAAAAAACUGGAAUGUUUAACUGUAUUCAAAAAUUCAUAUGCUUGUUUUGUUAAAAUAUUAUGUUUGCUGUUGAAGUAAAAAAAAUCCAGAAUACAUAACACUGUUGUUUUAGUCAAAUAAAACAAUUUAAAUGUCUCUCUGGUGAUGUUCUUCUCCUAAUACAGCCUGGCAAGAAAAUCCUCCAAAUAUUAAUGAUUAACCUGUUGAAUUGGAGACAUUUAUGAAGUCAGUGGGAG